GAUGAACGCUGGCGGCGUGCCUAACACAUGCAAGUCGAACGGAGAUUACGGACGGAAGUUUUCGGAUGGAAGCCUGUAAUUCUUAGUGGCGGACGGGUGAGUAACGCGUGGGCAACCUGCCCUAUACAGGGGGAUAGCAGCUGGAAACGGCUGGUAAGACCGCAUAAGUCGGUUAAAUCGCAUGAUUUGAUCGGGAAAUGAGCAAUCAGGUAUAGGAUGGGCCCGCGUCCGAUUAGCCAGUUGGCAGGGUAAAAGCCUACCAAAGCGACGAUCGGUAGCCGGACUGAGAGGUCGGACGGCCACAUUGGGACUGAGACACGGCCCAAACUCCUACGGGAGGCAGCAGUGGGGGAUAUUGCACAAUGGAGGAAACUCUGAUGCAGCGACGCCGCGUGAGUGAAGAAGUAUUUCGGUAUGUAAAGCUCUAUCAGCAGGGAAGAUGAUGACGGUACCUGACUAAGAAGCCCCGGCUAACUACGU
rnacentral:rRNA from 1 species